rnacentral:rRNA from 1 species
GAUGGACGCUGGCGGCGUGCCUAAUACAUGCAAGUCGAGCGAACGGACGAGAAGCUUGCUUCUCUGAUGUUAGCGGCGGACGGGUGAGUAACACGUGGAUAACCUACCUAUAAGACUGGGAUAACUUCGGGAAACCGGAGCUAAUACCGGAUAAUAUUUUGAACCGCAUGGUUCAAAAGUGAAAGACGGUCUUGCUGUCACUUAUAGAUGGAUCCGCGCUGCAUUAGCUAGUUGGUAAGGUAACGGCUUACCAAGGCAACGAUGCAUAGCCGACCUGAGAGGGUGAUCGGCCACACUAGAACUAGGACACGGUCCAGACGCCUAAGGGAGGCAGCAGUAGGGAAUCUUCCGCAAUGGGCGAAAGCCUGACGGAGCAACGCCGCGUGAGUGAUGAAGGUCUUCGGAUCGUAAAACUCUGUUAUUAGGGAAGAACAUAUGUGUAAGUAACUGUGCACAUCUUGACGGUACCUAAUCAGAAAGCCACGGCUAACUACGUG